GCCAGACUCCUACGGGAGGCAGCAGUGAGGAAUAUUGGUCAAUGGGCGGAAGCCUGAACCAGCCAAGUCGCGUGAGGGAAGACGGUCCUAUGGAUUGUAAACCUCUUUUGUCGGGGAGCAAAAGACGCCACGUGUGGCGUUCCGAGAGUACCCGAAGAAAAAGCAUCGGCUAACUCCGUGCCAGCAGCCGCGGUAAUACGGAGGAUGCGAGCGUUAUCCGGAUUUAUUGGGUUUAAAGGGUGCGUAGGCGGAAUGCCAAGUCAGCGGUAAAAUCGGGGGGCUCAACCUCGCUCCGCCGUUGAAACUGGCGCUCUUGAGUGGGCGAGAAGUAUGCGGAAUGCGUGGUGUAGCGGUGAAAUGCAUAGAUAUCACGCAGAACUCCGAUUGCGAAGGCAGCAUACCGGCGCCCAACUGACGCUGAAGCACGAAAGCGUGGGUAUCGAACAGGAUUAGAUACCCGAGUAUC
rnacentral:rRNA from 1 species